GACUUCAAGACUCUGCACAGAAUCAAACAGAAGCCUGGAUUGGACUGUACAACAUCACAGGAGGAGCCAACAGGAGGUGGCACUGGUCUCUGCCGGGGGAGGAAUACACUGAAAAUAAGAGUUGUUGGGAAGAUGGAGAACCAAAUGAUUAUGGUGGCAUCCCUGAGAACUGUGUGAUGACAAAAGACAAGUGUGUAGAUGUUCCAUGUACUAACACGAAUCAGUUCAUCUGCUAUAACGAAACAAUGAAAAACAACAAAACCUUUCAUUUGAAUGAUAAGUCUGUGACCUGGACUCAGGCUCAGAGCUACUGCAGACAGCAUCACACCGACCUGGCCAGUGGACUCGAUCAGAUAUACAGUGAAGAGUUUAAGAAGCUGCAGAACUCCACAGCUUUGUGGAUCGGCCUGUUCAGAGACAGCUGGAGGUGGUCAGAUGGGAGUAACUUCUCUUUCAGAUACUGGGACAUGGACUCAUUUAACCCUUGUGUUGUCCACGGGUCAUUUUUGUCCUCUACAGAAAUCUUUUGCUAUCAAAAAUAUGUUUUUUAUUCAUCAAAUGGUCUGAAAAUAACAGAAGUUAUUCAUUACUAUACUAUGCAUGAUUGGAAUAAGUUUUAAGUAAUUUGA